CCGAAACGACGACAAACACCCGGGAAGAGCAGACAUAAGGAGAGGAACGAGCGAGAGAAAAGAGUUUUGCUGAGUGCCGCUGUGCGGUGCCGUGCAGAGCCGCCUGGGUGUGAAGGCGUUGCAUCCUCUGUGGUAGUGGUACGGAAUCAUACAACCACGGAGUGUUUGAGGGGAGGGAACUUAAAGUCAUCCAGUUCCAACCGCUGUCACUGAGAGGCAUCAUUACUGUGGGGAACCUGCUGGCACUUCUGGGCAUGCAGGACAACCUGCACUCCAAAAUUCAAACUCCAGUCCAUCAGCUCUGAUGGCUUCUGAAUCCCUGUGCCAGAAACCCUUGGAAGACAGCAUGAGAAAGAGGAUUAACUGCAUGGAUCCUUACGUUCUUGGUGGCUGCCUCUUCAAACAAAGUGCCUUGAGAAAAGCAUGUGGCAUUCACUCACUGUAAAAUGGUUUGGGUGGUUGGUGUUUUGGGAAGCAGGUAACUCAGAAUAAAUUGUAUGGGGAGGGGGGUCUGUCCUGUCAGUACUGACCAAGAAUCACCUUUGAUGAAGGCCCUCGUGUUAGGGAGUUGUGAGCUGUCUCGUGAGAAAGUCUUGUUGGCACUUGUACUGAACAGUCACGUCCUGUGUGAGGGAGUGCAGAUGCGGGGGAGAGAGAAGCCCAAGCUCCAUGAGAGAGACAAAAGAUCAAAAGCAGUGAAAAUUACCAAAAGAAAUUAUGGUAAAGCAAUUAACAUUGGGAUGUUCACUCUUUUGCAUGUGUCCCUUUUCUAGUAGCUGAAAAGCAGUUUUGCUCUUCUGUCUCAAUAAAGCGGUGGCCCCAAAGAUGCCUUUCCCAAGCCCCACAAAGUGCCCACAGCAUUAAAAAUCUGCACAAUUAACUGCUGGUUAACAGAGCUAGAACUGACCCAUUUUGAUGAAGGGGAUCAGAGAGUGUGCCAGAGAAACUGGAGGUGACGGCCAGUGCCCCAGCUCUUUCAUUCCAGAAAAUUGCAGGAACAAAUAGUUCCAGCAUGGUUAUCCUCACAAAGAGAAGUGGGGAGCAAUGGAGAGAGGUGUGUGGUGAGGAGGAAAGACAUUUUGAUUCUCUCUUCCCUUUUGUCACCUCAACUCAGUAACACCUUAUGUAACAGGUUUGGCUUUUGUUUAAAUUUUAAGACUGUGAAAUUUUCCUGACUGUAAAACUGUAACAAUAACAAGUACUUGGGAUCUUUUGAAAAUAUUUUUCUUUUUAGUUAAAAAGAAAUAUAAAUAUAUGCAGAAAAGUCUGUACUAGAACAGCGAGUUAAAGCUUUUUCAAUAUAGAGUCAGGAUAUUUCUUUUCCCUAAUGUAAUAAAAGAUGUGACAAAACCA